UGGAGGUCGCGCACGGCAGACCUGACCCAUGGCAACUGAAGAAAAGUCAAAUAUGGCUGAAUGCCGUUUCUGUAUCUGUGGUUUCACUCUUGCAUAGUGCCUAAAUCCACUGCAACCUCUUUCUGGAAUAACAGGUUUGUGGAACUCACACUGUCCUGUGAGAAAAGGAAGAGAAUACACAUCUGCUUCAGGUGAAUGGCUGGAUCCAAAUUAAGAGAGGAGGAGUGAUUGGAGAAUGGAACUGACGUGUGUGGGGAGACCGGGAGACCGGGAGAAAGGCGGGGAGGGAAA